UAGCUCAGCGGUAGAGCUCCGGACUUUUAAUCCGGGAGUCGUGGGUUCGAAUCC
rnacentral:tRNA from 1 species